UGGGGAAUCUUGGACAAUGGGCGCAAGCCUGAUCCAGCCAUGCCGCGUGAGUGAUGAAGGCCUUAGGGUCGUAAAGCUCUUUCAACGGUGAAGAUAAUGACGGUAGCCGUAGAAGAAACCCCGGCUAACUCCGUGCCAGCAGCCGCGGUAAUACGGAGGGGGUUAGCGUUGUUCGGAAUUACUGGGCGUAAAGCGCGCGUAGGCGGAUUGGAAAGUAUGGGGUGAAAUCCCAGGGCUCAACCCUGGAACUGCCUCAUAAACUCCCAGUCUUGAGUUCGAGAGAGGUGAGUGGAACUCCGAGUGUAGAGGUGAAAUUCGUAGAUAUUCGGAAGAACACCAGUGGCGAAGGCGGCUCACUGGCUCGAUACUGACGCUGAGGUGCGAAAGUGUGGGGAGCAAACAGGAUUAGAUACCC
rnacentral:rRNA from 1 species